UGUCAAGAGAAUGGUUUUGGUGCAUUGUGU
rnacentral:piRNA from 1 species